rnacentral:lncRNA from 1 species
AGAGAUUCUUCUGCUGGCCUUGAAGAAGCUAACAGCCAUGUUGUGAACUACAGAAGUGGCCACGUGGCACAGUGGUGAAGUAGAGGUUAAGAGUAGUCCCUGGCUAACAGCUAGUAUGAAAUGGAGACUUCCGUCAUACCACUUCAAGGAAAUGAAUUCUUCCAACAACCAGAGUGAGCUUGGAAGCAGAUUCUUUCCCCUGUCAAACCUCCUGAUGAGAAUGCAGCCUGGCUGAUACAUUGAUUGCAACCCUGUGAGACCUUGAGCAAAGGACCCAGUUAAGCCACGCCCAGACUGAUGACUCAAGGAAACAGUGAGGUGUUCCCCCUCUGCCGUGGGAUGCACUCAGUAGCUGCGUCUUUUAGCCUAGCAAAGAUCAACCUGACCUUGGCCAACCGGCUUGUACUUUGAAGAGAGUACUUUGUGAGACAUGUGAGUAGAGAGGUAUUCAUGCUUGGCAGAAUUUGCUGUCUCUUUUGCUCAGUAUUUUACCAUGAUUAAUCCCCAUUUCUCUUCGCUGCUGCUGCUGCCGCUGUCGCUGCUGUCAGUCUCAUAUUUCUUCUCUAUAGCAGAUGCCUUUCAAAUGUUGUUGGAUUCCGGCUGGGUGUGACCUUUUAUGGGGCAUUGCUGCCUCCUAUCAGGCUUUUAUGGGCCUGUUGGUUUGUGCACAUGUGCAGACAUUCUGACCUCCUGACCUCCAGAAUAGAUUCUAUGAGAACAACUGUAUCUGACCUUUCCAACAUUUUGGACACUCAAACUCUUCCCAAGUGCACGGGUGCGAAGAACGCUCGCUCGUGGUUUUGGCUUACAUUCUUCUCACAUCAGAAGAACCACUCUAGGAGAACGUGAAGCCAGGUCAGAAAUGCUAACAUAACAGCAAGGUUACUGGCAGCCCUUAAAUUUGCCUGGCAUGAAUUUGCACGUAAGGCAGUGUUUCCACAUCUUUGUUUUUAUUGUGGUUUAAGCAAGCAGUUCCAAAUAGGUGAAUUACACUUUCUGGGAUAAUCCAAUCUGUAGAAGGUCAAU